AUUUCUCUUAAUUACCUCCAGCUAAUUUAUUUAAUUAUUAUGGCUAGUCAUGUUUUAAUUACAACUUUGAAGUGAUAAACAUGUGAGAUUUUUAUCUUGAGGUCUGUCGGGUGAUGAACCAGUAGUUUGGUCAUUUCUGGCCGUUUUGGUCUGCCUUUGAUUUCGCUUUUCAGCUCCUUGCCAUCUUCAGUAUUGGAUCUAGAAGAAGCCUAGUCUAACAGACCAAAACAACAGAAGUAGAGGCCAAAACUAUAAAAAAACUAUCAAUAUUUUUGAAUAACAAUAUUAUAACAUGCUGUGCCUUUAACCAUGUUCAAUUGUUUGACAGGUGAAAUUAAAACACAAAACAAAAGUUAUAUAUACAGAGUAUCUCUUAUUUCAAUACAACACCCAAUUCUCUCAAAAAGAAGGUUUAUAGAAAAAAAGUUUAAAUGGUGACGCCAUAAUUUUUCCCAAGGAUCUAAAAUAAGUGGUCUAAACAUUGUUUUUAAUGUGACAGUAAUAGGUAAUUGAGUUUUAUUUUUGUUUCUAGCUUUGAUACAUUUUCAAAAACUAUAUUUGUUAAUAUAAAAAAAUGACACUUGGUUGCUAUGCUGGAGUUAUUUCAAUUCAAAAACAGAUAUAUUUUAUGCUUUCAGUUUUCAAACAUAAAUAAACAUUUUGGGAGUUUAUCAUACAAGAAUAAUUAAUACCUAAAAACCAAUUUACAAUUUUUUUUUGCCUACGAUUCUGAUGACAUUCUCUGGCAUGAUUUGUCCUAUGACUGUCUCCAAUUCAAGGCAUCUAGUGCAUUCGAUGGAAAAUACAUGACGGUUACAAAACUUCUAUCUACCCCAUCCUGCUGAGUUACGAGCAGAAAAUGAGUGACAAAGUAGUCGACUUCUCUGUGUUCCUCUCAGAUCAGUGGGUUGCCGAACCGGCCAAGCUGUCCAUCUCCUGCGUGUGUCAGAGUCAGCUUUCCUUUCAUUUACAUGAGUUUUCCUUUUGGCCAUUUUUCUUAGCGUGCCAAGUGUAACCAUGUAGUCAUUGAUUUAUUUUCUAUCCAGAGCUUUCUGCCCAGAAACUGUUCUGUAGUAGCUUGCUAUUCUUAAGGCUCCCCUCUGUUGGACAGCAGCCAUUUGUUUUCGGUAUUUAUCUAUUUUUAGUGCUUUGGCCGCAAUACGCAACUAAUCUAAUUUAUUGUGUCAUUUCUUAUUGAAAAAUAAAAUUAAUAUACAAUUACUGUGUGACAGAAAUGUUUAGACCAGUUAUUUUAGAUCCUUGGGAAAAAUGAUGGGGUUUACCAUUUAAACUUUUUUUUUUCUAAACCCUUUGUUUUAGAAAAAUGUGGGUGUUGCAUUGAAAUAGACAGCUUAUACAGGGUGCAUACUCUCCCCAUCUGGAAAACUGAAAUUUUGCGUUUAUCGUCAGAAGACAAUGCUCAGUGUAGAGAUUGCUUCAGGAGUCUUUCAAUUCUCCAUGAGAUACGACUUCUUAAGCAUAGUCGAAUGCUUAUAUAUGGAUAAUUGUUCACUUUCAUUGCCUUCACUGCCUGGUCUAAUUUCCCGCCCUAGCUUCAUCAACAAGCAGAAAGUUUCUUCUAGCAAGGAUGAUAGUUUCUAUGUGGGUAGUGUUUCCCUAUAGGUCUUGGAAAAUAUUGUCUUUGGAAGAUAAAACACCUUGAAACACGCUUAAUGAUUUGAUACACCCAGAGUGAUAUUCCCUCCUCACCCUAAAAAGCAUAUCUAUAAUGACAUUAAAUUGCAUGAUAGAAAGUACAUUAACCAGUUUAUAUAUGCAUCACGUUUAGGUACCCAUUUUCUUAACCCAGGAUAUGAGACUUGUGUUUAGCGAUGAAAGUGAAUGGAAUUUCACUUCCCUUCAGACAUAAACAGAGGCGAGCACUAGAAAAAGGAAAGGAUUCAAAUUAAAUUUUCAAGACUGAUAGAGAUAAAUGCAUUUCUGUUGUCGUCAGUAUUAAUUAAAUCAGACUAAGGUGUUUUUGUCUCCUUUAAAAGUUUUUUUUUUUUUGAUAUGUUUGUAAUUUGAGGAUACAACUUACAAUUGUGCAGUUGUGUUUUUUUUUAUGCACAUCAUUUGCAUAAGUGAAUAAAACGACUGAGAAAUUGUUCUAAAAUUAAAAGAUUUAAUCUGAUAUUGACGUCCAGAUUGACUAAAUUAUUUUAUUUUUAUCUUAAAAAUUGUGUUUAUUUUUGUACACAAAAUAUUACAAGUAAAUACUUAGGAAUCUGUACGUUUGUAUGAUACUGUUAAAUAGUUAUUUUAAAAUAAGUGUUGUACUAUUUGAAGGGAACAAAAUCAAGACAGAAAUUUUCCAUAGGAAUAAAGAUUUCAUAUUAAACUUUUUUAACGUUUUAUUUCACAAUUGACGUAGACAAUUAUUUUGUACUUGUAUUGAAAAACUUAAUAUCAAUGACUUAUUAAAAUUCUUUUAAUUUAUUAGAUGUGUAAUAUAGUUGUUAUAAGAUCUCAGUUAAUAUUGUACAUAAAUUUUGAAACGAUUUAGUUUUAAAUGUGUAAUUAAAUAUAUAUUUUUGAACUAGAAAUGUUACCUUGCCAUAAAAAAUUUUUUAAAUGUAAUAUAUUGUUUUAUUGGUUGUUCUGUUUAUAUUAAAAAGUUUAAUAAUUAAUAAAUUUGUGAUACU